UUGUCUUGCUUUCCUUGUUUUUUUCUAUUUUUCUAUUUUUUUAUUUUUUUUUCGUUUAAUUGGCAUCAAAGGGACGAAGGUAAACAUCCAUUUGAAUAAAUUUAAUUUUCAUUUGAUUUUUAGAUUUUAUUUAUUCAUUAUUAAUUUUUAUUUUUCUUCUAGUUUCCUUCUUGACCAACCCCACAAUUGGAAGAUUACUGGCCUUCAAUGCAGCAAGCAAUUUCUAAGCUUCUCCAUUAACAAGAUGUGUCUAAGCUUGAAUGGCAAGAACUGUUUCGACAACUUCACAAUUUGAAGAUUACUGGCCUUCAAUGCAGCAAGCAAUUUCUAAGCUUCUGCAACAAGAAGAUGUGUCUAAGCUUAAAUGCCAAGAGCUAUUUUGGAAUAUGCACGUUAUACUGCAAUGGGAUGAGAAAGCUAAAGCAAACAUCCAAGAUGCUCUUCCCCGCGAUGUCCUGGAGUUUAUCCCAGAGGCUCAAGCUACUGUUCUAUCCCACCAUGACGACCAAUCCUUGCUUAAAGCUUAUGUGGCUGCUUAGAGUAAAUUUUUUUGUACAAUGUAAUUAUUUACCAUUACCAUUCACACCUCUCAUGACCAAUCCAAACAAAUCCAGCAACACUAAAAACUUCAUAAAUGAAGAGAAUAUUGUCCGUAAAUUGAUGCACAAUAGUUGGAAUGAAAAAAUUUUUACCAACAUUAAACACAGGUUACAAGACAGUGCCGUGAAACUUGUACCAGCGCUGAAUGAUACGGGUGUACGGGUACUUAGGACGAAUAAUAAAGAUCUUAUACUUUGGGAAUGUCUGGUGUGAUACAAGGAAACAAUACUAAUAGUAAGUCUUCUACAGAUUUCUCAAUAGCUCUGAAACUUUUUUCUAUCUUUUUUUCCCUCAAUAAAUCCAAGUUCACUGCCUUUCCGUCAUUCAUGCUUGAUUCUCAAUCUUUUUUAGCAUUGAAUCUCAUGUUCAGAUGGCUUGAUCGUAUUGAAGAAGGUGAAGAACCUAUUUUAAAUCACCUCGAAGAACAUAUCGUUCAUCGAGGAUUAGCCGAUAUAAGCCUCAGCUGAAAUUAUCACUCAAGACCCGGAAAAAUAUGUUGAAAAAGUAUUGAUCCUUUUCACAAAAUACGGCACUCUUGUCAAAGAGGCUUUCAAUGAUGACCCCAGGUUUUUAACUGGUCGUGAUAAGGCUUUUAAACAAGUAGUUAAUGACACUUCGGUGUUCUAACUUGAGUUAGGAUAUCUACGAAUGUACACAAUGUACUGCAAUGGGAUGAGAAAGCUAAAGCAAACAUCCAAGAUGCUCUUCCCCGCGAUGUCCUGGAGUUUAUCCCAGAGGCUCAAGCUACUGUUCUAUCCCACCAUGACGACCAAUCCUUGCUUAAAGCUUAUGUGGCUGCUUAGAGUAAAUUUUUUUGUACAGUGUAAUUAUUUACCAUUACCAUUCAGCCUCUCAUGACAAAUCCAAACAAAUCCAGCAACACUUAAAACCUCAUAAAUGAAGAGAAUAUUGCCCUUAAACAUUUUAUAGAUGUACAAUAGUUGGAAUGAAAACAUUUUUACCAACAUUAAAAACAGGUUACAAGACAGUGCCGUGAAACUUGUACAUGCCGAAAGGAAUGGAGAAGCUUUUGAUUCCCAAUUAGUAAUCGGCGUGAGAGAAUCCUUCGUCAAUUUAGGCUCUAAUGCCAACGAUGUAACUAUUUAUAUGGAAAAUUUCGAGAAAGCAUAUAUCGAAUCAACUGAAGCAUUUAUCAUUUCAAAGCAGCUGAUUAUCUUGUAGAUUAUGGAGUACAAAGUUAUGUGGUCUGAGCCGAUGCCGAUUCAGAAUAACUUGGUAUGACACAA